ACGUACACUCCUACGGGAGGCAGCAGUGGGGAAUAUUGCACAAUGGGCGCAAGCCUGAUGCAGCCAUGCCGCGUGUAUGAAGAAGGCCUUCGGGUUGUAAAGUACUUUCAGCGGGGAGGAAGGCGAUAAGGUUAAUAACCUUGUCGAUUGACGUUACCCGCAGAAGAAGCACCGGCUAACUCCGUGCCAGCAGCCGCGGUAAUACGGAGGGUGCAAGCGUUAAUCGGAAUUACUGGGCGUAAAGCGCACGCAGGCGGUCUGUCAAGUCGGAUGUGAAAUCCCCAGGCUCAACCUGGGAACUGCAUUCGAAACUGGCAGGCUAGAGUCUUGUAGAGGGGGGUAGAAUUCCAGGUGUAGCGGUGAAAUGCGUAGAGAUCUGGAGGAAUACCGGUGGCGAAGGCGGCCCCCUGGACAAAGACUGACGCUCAGGUGCGAAAGCGUGGGGAGCAAACAGGAUUAGAUACCCCAGUAGUCCCAUGA
rnacentral:rRNA from 1 species